rnacentral:tRNA from 1 species
GGAGACGUACUCAAGUGGUUAAGAGGGCACCCUGCUAAGGUGUUAGAUCGAGUAAUCGGUGCAUGGGUUCGAAUCUCAUCGUCUCCGCCA